rnacentral:rRNA from 1 species
GACGAACGCUGGCGGCGUGCUUAACACAUGCAAGUCGAACGGAAAGGCCCUGCUUUUGUGGGGUGCUCGAGUGGCGAACGGGUGAGUAACACGUGAGUAACCUGCCCUUGACUUUUGGAUAACUUCAGGAAACUUGGUCUAAUACCGGAUAUGAUCUCCUGCUGCAUGGUGGGGGUUGGAAAGUUUCGGCGGUUGGGGAUGUACUCGCGGCUUAUCAGCUUGUUUGUGGGGUAGUGGCUUACCAAGGCUUUGACGGGUAGCCGGCCUGAGAGGGUGACCGGCCACAUUGGGACUGAGAUACGGCCCAGACUGCUACGGGAGGCAGCAGUGGGGAAUAUUGCACAAUGGGCGGAAGCAUGAUGCAGCAAAGCGGCGUGCGGGAUGACGGCCUUCGGGUUGUAAACCGCUUUCGCCUGUGACGAAGCGUGAGUGACGGUAAUGGGUAAAGAAGCACCGGCUAACUACGUG